UACGUAGGCAGCGAGCGUUGUUCGGAGUUACUGGGCGUAAAGGGUGUGUAGGCGGUUCUUUAAGUUUGGUGUGAAAUCUCCCGGCUCAACCGGGAGGGUGCGCCGAAUACUGAGGGACUAGAGUGCGGGAGAGGAAAGUGGAAUUCCCGGUGUAGUGGUGAAAUGCGUAGAUAUCGGGAGGAACACCAGUGGCGAAGGCGACUACCUGGCCUGUUCUUGACGCUGAGGCGCGAAAGCUAGGGGAGCAAACGGG
rnacentral:rRNA from 1 species